rnacentral:misc_RNA from 1 species
AGGUCGUAACAAGGUUUCCGUAGGUGAACCUGCGGAAGGAUCAUUAUUGAAUUAUAAGGCUCCGAUUGUGCUGGCCUCUCGGGGCAUGUGCACGUCUCUGCCCGUUAAUCCCAACCCACCCCUGUGAACCGACCGUGUGAGGCGCUCUGUAAUGGAGCCGUCUCAUGCUUUAUCAUAAACCCUGUAUGUCUUCAGAAUGUAAAUCUAUAUCCUCGCCUUAAAACCGCGUUGGUAAAAAAUUAAUACAACUUUCAACAACGGAUCUCUUGGCUCUGGCAUCGAUGAAGAACGCAGCGAAAUGCGAUAAGUAAUGUGAAUUGCAGAUUUUCAGUGAAUCAUCGAAUCUUUGAACGCACCUUGCGCUCCCUGGUAUUCCGGGGAGCAUGCCUGUUUGAGUGUCAUUAAAUUCUCAACCCCGAUCGGAUUUAUUUUCGCAUUCGGAGGCUUGGAUAGUGGAGUGUGCUGGCCCCCUCUCAUGGGUCGGCUCCUCUCAAAUGCAUUCGCGGAAUUGACUUUGGUCCGUUUCGGUCAUCAGUGUGAUAAAUGUUGCGCUGUUGGCUAGGAUCGAGGUGCCGCAUACAAUGGUCUUCGGACAAUUUUAUAAACCAUUUGACCUCAAAUCAGGUAGGACUACCCGCUGAACUUAA